AUCUCACCAGCCUCCUCCAUGCCAGGCUCGGGCUCUUCCUGCUCCUGGAACAAGCUCCGGACUCGGGGCAUUCGCCGCAGAUGCUGCAUCUCCGAAGCUCUCGGCUGGUAGAGAGCAGCCGCCACAUGCUCUGGGGCGGCAGGGCUGAGCUGCCAAGAGCUCCUGGCCAUGACCUUGGUGCAUGGAGUCCAGAGGGGGCUGGGGAAGACCUUCUCUUCACACUCGAGGAUGCACACCUGCAAAGAUACGGGUGUGGGGAGAGAUGCCAUCAUCAGACCAGAGCCCAGCAGACCCGCUCGGCUCCUAGGAACACUCUGCUCUGCCUCUCCUGCCAACCCUGACUUCUAGCCACCAGCUGGACCACGAUGUUUCUCCAGCCCCUCUUGGCUGGUUCUGACCUUG
rnacentral:lncRNA from 1 species